GAUGAACGCUGGCGGCGUGCCUAAUACAUGCAAGUCGAGCGAACAGACGAGGAGCUUGCUCCUCUGACGUUAGCGGCGGACGGGUGAGUAACACGUGGAUAACCUACCUAUAAGACUGGGAUAACUUCGGGAAACCGGAGCUAAUACCGGAUAAUAUAUUGAACCACAUGGUUCAAUAGUGAAGGACGGUUUUGCUGUCACUUAUAGAUGGAUCCGCGCCGCAUUAGCUAGUUGGUAAGGUAACGGCUUACAAAGGCAACGAUGCGUAGCCGACCUGAGAGGGUGAUCGGCCACACUGGAACUGAGACACGGUCCAGACUCCUACGGGAGGCAGCAGUAGGGAAUCUUCCGCAAUGGGCGAAAGCCUGACGGAGCAACGCCGCGUGAGUGAUGAAGGUCUUCGGAUCGUAAAACUCUGUUAUUAGGGAAGAACAAAUGUGUAAGUAACUAUGCACGUCUUGACGGUACCUAAUCAGAAAGCCACGGCUAACUACGUG
rnacentral:rRNA from 1 species